CAAUACACGUCUAAAUCAUACUAAUCAAACGAGCAACUCCGAAGCAAAUGGAGCACACCAACAUCUUCCGCUGAGUUGAUAGCCUACUUGGAGGACACUCGACCUGUCUAUCGAGACCUGCGCGCAUGAAACGCGUCCCCAGGCAAAAAGGACGUCAGUACGAAUAAUGUACUGACUAUGUAAGGCACAUAAAUAAGUACAUCAGAGACAUGGAAGAAAUAUAGAGUACAUGACUCAACCUGUAAGUCUGAAUAACUUUGUAAAUCAUAAAGUACUGUUAGCGUCAUGUAUAUACGUAUGAAUGUCAUGUCGGGCAUAGGUACAUGUUUCAUAACAUCAUCAUCCUCUGAGGGCAUCCCAUCAUAUUAUAUCGGCCACUGUGGAAAAAAUCAUCAACGUAUGCCAGCUGAUCAGGUGGUGGUGCGUAUAUAACGCCAUAACCUUUCCCAUAUCCCAUAUACAUAUAUAUACAUACAUAUAUACGCGUAUAUAAUGCCAUUUGAAUCAUAUUUCAGCCACUGUGGGCAACAUCAUCAUCAUAUACCAACUGAUCAGGUGGUGGUACGUAUAUAACGCCAUAACCUUUUUCCAUAUCCCAUAUACAUAUAUUUACAUAUAUACACGUAUAUAACGCCAUCUAGUCAUGGGUCAAUGCACAUGUAUGAAAUAUAUGAAAAAUACGCAAUAAUCUCAAUAUUCUUUCCGGAUAGAUUUUUCCAACUGUGUAUUAUUCUGAGACCCACGAGCAGAAGAUAAUAAUAUUUUUCAUGGGGAAUCAAAAAUAUAGACACCCCUACUAUUUCUAUGAAUAGAGUAAUUUAUGGAAACUGUGUGUUUGCUCGUUUCUUCAGUUGUUUGCUCGUUUCUUCAGUAUCAUAUGGACCAUGCCAAAAGAAAGAAGGGAGGGCCUUAACAUACCUGUUCCUGAAAUUAUUUAAACGGAAUGAAGCUUCUGCUUUCGUGAAAUAUGUCGAACAAAAUUCUGACUGAACCCUUUGAAACUGAGAGGAAAACGUUUCUGGUUCUUUGAGUUUUAGAAGGAAUAACAUUUGGAUUCCUUAUGAUUCACAUUGGAUUUGAAUGUUGGACAAAAUGGUUUGCUUCUAACAUCUUUGGUUUGAAUCCGAAGACAGAAUGUGGUUUCCUAAUGAAUGGCUUACUAAGUUUCCAAAAGAAAUGAUCAAAAGUCUUGUUUAAAACUUAUGGAUAAGACUUUAAAAGUCUUAUUUAUGACUUGUCUUACACGUCCUUGUCUUUGAUAAGACUUUUCAAGUCUUAUUUAAGACUUAUCUUAAGACUAAUCUUGAGUCAUGGUGGCUUUGGCCAUAUGGCAUAUAAUGAGUACUUACAUUGCCACAUGGUAUGAUGACUAAUGAGUCAUUUUUGUCAUGGUGGCUUUUUGCCACAUUUUAGAUGGGUAUAUUUUAUAAAUUUUUAUCCACUUAUUAGUUAAUUGGAAAAUAUCUUAUUACCCGGUAAUUAAUCAAUUACCCGCGUAACUUAAAAAUUGUCUCAACUUAAUUAAAUACUACUCUCUUUUAUACACCUUAUUAUCAUGGCCAUGUGGUACCUUGUAUGUCACUAGUCCAUAAAUACUGGGUAUUUUAGCUCGGGCCAUAUUUUAUCCCAAAAUACCAAAUUUCAAUGAAAUUCAUUUUCUUCGACUUGCUUCCCUUCUCACCUUCACAAAUUUAUUCAUCACUUACAAUCCUUAUAAUCUCCAAAUAAUAUUUUCCUUGGACUAAUGUCAAUUACCUUACAACAAAUUUCAACGCACAAUACUACAGGGUGCAACAUCGUCGUAACUUAAUACUGCAAGGCGUAACAUCACCGUAAUGUAAUACUGCUGGGUGCAACACUAUCGUAACUUAAUACUGCGAAGCGUGACAUCACCGUAAUGUAAUAGUGCUGGGUGCAACACUGUCGUAACUUAAUAAUGUGAAGAGUGACAUCACCGUAAUAUAAUACUACUGGGUGCAACACUGUCGUAACUUAAUACUACAGAGCGUGACAUCACCGUAAUGUAUUACUGUAAGGCAUAACAUCAUCGUAAUAUUUUACUGCAGGGCAUAACACCAUCAUAAUAUAUUACUGCAAAGGGUAACACCAUCAUAACAUAUUACUGCAGAGUAUAACAUUGUCGUAAUAUAAUACUGUGAAACGUAAUAUUGUCGUAAUAUUGCGGGGCGUAACAUCAUUCCCCCUUUGGAACAUUCGUCCUCGAAUGUUAACUGAUGCUCUUAUCAUUUUCAUAACUUAUAGCUCUUGUGAAUACAUUAAUACUCUUCUUGCCAUUUAAGCAGUUGCUCUGUGAAUAAAUCCAAAGUCUAGGGUAUUCCCCCCUUUAGUCUUUUUGCUCAUAUCAUGAUAUGUAGUCGAAAUCUUCCUAAUCUUGAAACUUCUAUUACCUCCUAUCAUGCAACCUAUAUGGCCCUGGCUUUAUAGGUGCACUUAUGCGAUUCAUCUUUCCUUUUUCCUUUUAUCUUUUAGUCAAUCUCUAAGCCUUACUUUGUAUAUACAAGGCUUAAUAGGAUGCCUCUCNNNNNNNNNNNNNNNNNNNNNNNNNNNNNNNNNNNNNNNNNNNNNNNNNNNNNNNNNNNNNNNNNNNNNNNNNNNNNNNNNNNNNNNNNNNNNNNNNNNNNNNNNNNNNNNNNNNNNNNNNNNNNNNNNNNNNNNNNNNNNNNNNNNNNNNNNNNNNNNNNNNNNNNNNNNNNNNNNNNNNNNNNNNNNNNNNNNNNUGGGUUAUACUAUACCAUAAUUUUUGCUUCAAUCUACAUUUACUGAGGUAUGUUUACCAAGUUCCUAGUUACUUUUGUUGCCUACCUUUUAUGUAUAAAUCUCACUCCUUCAAUUCCCCUUCAUUACCGUUCGUCUUAAGAAUCAUGGCCUAAUCUCAUGUCAUACUUUGUAACUUAUAUCUGAUCAUUGUGGAUUCACCUCAAUGUUGAUCUAUAAUCCUUUACUUGAAGACUUGAAACAUCUUACGUAAUACAUUACCGCUAGGGCUUACGCUGUAUUGAGGAAUAUUUGAAGUGAUUUCCAUAAUCAUAUUUCAUAGUGUCUCAAUGUGAUUCACCUUAUGGGGUAUCUUGAUUUUGUGCCGCCAACAAAUUUUUUUUCUCAUUCUCUUCUUCUAUUUUCUCUUUUUUUAAUCAUUAUUCAAACGAAGGCCCAAACGUCAUCCUUUAGCUGUCACAAUUUUCCCUCAUUUUAUUACUAGGUCAACAUUUCAUUCUUUCUAAAUGCUAUUAAUCUUAGAUUACUUUGAGUUCAUUUAGGCUAUACUGAACUUUCAAUAACUUAGAGAAACCAUUAUCUCUCUUGUUUUCAUGGACUUAAUCCUGAUGACUUAUCUAUUCUCGUCACCUUUUCACUUGUCACUCUACCAUACUUUUGCUUGCUACCUAUAAAUAUCCAUUUAUAAUACUCGCUACUUUCCUUCAACUUGCUUGCACCAUAGAUUUCCUUAUGUUAUUCUAGAACGUCAAGCGAUACAUCACAUCAUCUCCAACUCUUCUCUACUCUCUUGACUAGAUCUCUCAGUACUUAGAAACCAUAGGUUGGAAGACAUGCCACUGACGAUGCUGCUAUCAUUCCCAGUUAUUGGAUCCCCGUGCUUAUAACCUUCUAUCCGAAAUAUGGACAAUUCACAACUUUUUGCAUUUGAGUAUCUCGUACGUUGUUCACUUUUACCUUAAAAUCUCGUAUCAUAUCUUUUAUCUCUUUCAUAACCUCCCUUCCACCUAGGUGUAAUUCAUGUACAUAACUUGAAGCUCUAUUAUAAUACUCGCACCUUUGGUACAUACACAAUCCAGUGAGAGCUUCGUACUGACUUCUUAUGAGCUAGUACUUCUUCUAACUGGCUUCCUUGUAGAGGCAUUAUAGAUUAUGGUUGUUGUGUUAUUUCUCUUGAACAUCUGAUAUUAAGAGUGAUUCUGUCAUGCUCUCCAACACAACUUUUAUAAUUUUUCUAGGUCCAAUAAUCAGAUUCCUGAUUUACUUAGGUGAUGUAAUUCUUUAGUUUCCUCUUCCUUCUGAUCAGCCUUUAUGUAGGCUUAAGCUAUCUUUCGAUAUGUGGUUCAUGGUAUCAGUUAUUACCUUAGCCUUUCAUGGGCGUUAUGGAAUAUCCAUGAUAUAGUAUUCCAACAAUUCAAUCCUUUGUCUAUGCCCUGGGAUCAAUUCUUUCUUUUAACUUAUACUAGAGUCUUCUAUGGCUGUAUGAUUGUCAACAAAUAUGCUGCCUGGAUAAUGCUCCAAAAUCUUGAGUGUAUCCAUAACGUGCUAACUCUGGAUCAUUGAUCAAAUAAUUCUUUUGUUCCAUCUUAGCUUUCUUUCAAUGUAAGCUAUUACUUUUCCUUGUCUUUAUGCCCCCUCAAUGCGUCCAUACUUAGCUUAUCUUAGUGUCCACACUUGCCAGAGUUUUCAUACAACUUAUAUGAUCUCGAAUAUUACUUUUAAUUCUUACUUCCCAUUCAUUAGCCACGGUAGGUUCCACUUUCCUUUGGAAUGCUUACAAUGUUGUUGUGAGAUUGUUGUUACACGAUCAUUUCCUCUUUAGGUAGUUGUGCUUAGGUUGAAGCCUUCUUUCUUAUCUUCUCAUCUAGUCUUUCGUUGUAGUACUUAGGGAGAACCCUUGACUCUCAUAAAGCUGUGAGCUUAUUACGAACCUUUUUGAUGUCCUUACUUGCCUAUAAUCAUCCGUAGUUGCUUACUUCCAUGCCCUUGUGCUUGUAUGGUUGCUUCUGAACUGAUAUUUUGACUGCCUUCCUAGCGGCACUUUCUCUUAUCCCCUUAACACUCAUACGAUACCUUUAACUACCCUGACUCUUGUUUGAAUAUAUCUCAAGUAUUAUAAUGGUAUUCUCCGAGGCUGAAUUCUCCAUGUUAGUUUCUACUAUGUUUAUCUUACACGAUCUGAUGACUCAUCUGUAACCUCGUGUUUAGCCAUAAUUGGGUUCUUCCGAACCAAUUACUAACUACUCAUUGGCCCAUUCUCACAUCAAUAUUCCUCAUAAUCUUUCUUGGGUUAUUUACUUUGUUUUAACUUACGUCUCGCACUGGCUCCUUAUUUAUUAAUAACAACUCAGGCAGGAAACUUUACUUCCUUUAAUCAUUCCAUAUUCCCCCCUUUAAGGGAGUACUAAGAGUUGGAGCUACGAUGACCUGCCUAUAGAUGUUUCAUCUUUUCAUCUUUGGCAUCCUUUCACAUCAUUGAUGACCCUUACUCGCCUUGCGGUAAUCCUUUCGUACCAAGGAUAGCAAAAUUCCUUACUCACAAGGGUGAAACUUAGUAUAACUGGCACAUACAGUUCCUUAGGCCGAACUUUGCUCACAUUGCUUGCUGUAGGGAAGCGUCUUUCUGAAUGACCAUUAUCUGAAUUUAUCGUGAAUCUUCUUUUGUCGUCCAUUCUAUUAUUGGCGGAACAAAAUCUGAAAUUCUUAUGAUGGCGACUAUCAUCAGUCACUCAGUCCCUAAUUCAUGUUUUGUUUAUCUUGUUCACCAAUCCAUACUAGUUCUAUUACUCUAGGGUCUAAAUUUUCUUCUUACGCUAGAGUUGUGAACUUAUUUCUCGAAAUGAGGACAUGAUUGUAUGACCUAUACUCUUUUGUUGUCCUAAGGCCUGUCACUUCUCGUCUCUUCCUUCAUUUGACUAUGGGUUCUGUAAUACUCUACCGUUUUCAUCCAUGUAUCACACCUUAUUCAUAAUGUUUCCUUAUCUCUCUUCUCAUUACUCUGCUAAUAUUUCUGCAUAUCCCUUUUCUUAUGAAAACUUCAAUAUGACAUUCUUUCGCUUUUAGCUUUCCUUUCCUCUAUCCAGUGGCUCUUCAAGUUGCUUAAUGUUCUCGCUUACUAGGGACACGAGCAACACUAAGGUAAUAUUUAUCCCUUCAAUGCUUAUAGUGCAUGUCUUUGUAGUACUCAUAUCUGGUUGCACUAUUUUAUAGUGCACCAUAUAGGUGUCUCAUAAAGAGAUCUAUUAGCACAUUUGCAAUAUCCUUGGGAAAUGUCAAUUGACGCAAUCAAUUCAUCCAUCAUAUCUUCUUAUACUACUUUUGUUAACCCUCAUAGGGCAUAUCUGGAAGGGGUGCGACCAAUUGUAUAUACCUAUAUUUUUAUUGAAUAUAACUCAAAAAGAUUAUGUUCCUCUGCCUCAAUUAUAAGCGUUGUUAACCUUCAUUAACUGGGUACCUCGUACCCUUUUUCACCUUGCUCCUUUUGCUUGCUGAAACUUGUACGUAUAUUCUUAAUCUCUCAUUGUUCUUUACCAUAAAGAUGGAUAGGCAUUCUUGCCUUAAGGCUUCUUAUUAGGAAUCUUAUACCUUUCAAUACACCCAUGAUCUGCUAAAGACCUCAUAUUUACUUAUCGUAGGCAUCAUACAAAAAUCAAAUUCCUCCGACUCAGCUCUUCCACAAUUAUCUUUCUUUCCAACCUUCUUUUCGGAUGUAGACAUCGUCUUAUUACGAAUAAAAUAGAAUUUUGGAAGUUGAAUUCUUAUAAGUGAGCUCUACCACACGAUCUAGAGUAAGAAGAAAGAGUGACAAUCCUAAAUGCCCUAUAGCCUCUGCUUAUAAGUGGUGCACAACACACUCACAAACAAGACUCUACUAGACACGACUUGUAGACUCCCUAGGACAGAACUACUCUAAUACCAAUUUUGUCACGACCCAAACCGAUGGGCCGCGAUGGGCACCCAGUACCUUACUCAAACGUGUACCAACGUAAUGUAUCUUUCUUAUUACAUCAUCAUAUACACAUGACAUACGAGCCUAAUAGGCCAACAUGAUCCUUUAAAAACUCAAAAUAUAGGCCGACAAGGCCGUACAAUCUUUUAUGUACACAACAUAUGUCUACAAGCCUCUAAGAGUACGUAAAUGUCAUAAAGGUUGGGAUAGAAUCCCGCCAUACCAAACAAUACACGUCUAAAUGAUACUAACCAAACGAGCAACUCUGAAGCAAAUGGAGCGCACCAACAUCUUCCGCUGAGCUGAUAGCCUACUUGGAGGACUCUCGACCUGUCUAUCGGGACCCGCGGGCAUGAAAUGCAGCAUCCCCAGGCAAAAGGGACGUCAGUACGAAUAAUGUACCGAGUAUUUAAGGCACAUAAAUUAAUACAUAAGAGACAUGGAAGAAAUAUAUAGCACAUGACUCAACCUGUAAGUCUGAAUAACUUUAUAAAUCAUAAAUUACUUUUAGCGUCAUACAUAUGUGUAUGAAUGUCUUGUCGUGCAUAGGUACAUGUUUCAUAAUAUCAUCAGCCUCUGAGGGCAUCCCAUCAUAUCAUAUCAGCCACUGUGGUCAAAAUCAUCAUCGUAUACCAGUUCAUCAGGUGGUGGUGCAUAUAUAACGCGUUAACCUUUCCCAUAUCCCAUACACAUACAUAUAUAAUGCCGUUUGAAUCAUAUUUCAGCCAAUAGGGGCAACAUCAUCAUCAUAUACCAGCUUAUCAGGUGGUGGAGCGUAUAUAACGCCGUAACCUUUUCCCAUAUCCCAUAUACAUAUAUUUACAUAUAAACGCGUAUAUAACGCCAUCUGGUCAUGGGUCAAUGCACAUGUAUGAAAUGCAUGAAAAAUACAUAAUAAUCUCAAUAUUCUUUCCAGAUAAAUUUUUCCAAUUGCGUAUUAUUCUGAGACCCAUGAGCAGAAGAUAAUAAUAUGUUUCAUGGGGAAUCAAGAAUAUAGACACCCCUACUAUUUCUAUGAAUAGAGUAAUUUAUGGAAACUGUGAGUUUGCUCGUUUCUUUAGUAUCAUAUGGACAAUGCCAAAAGAAUGAAGGGAGGGCCUUAACAUACCUAUUCCUGGAAUUAUUUGAACGGAAUGAAGCUUCUGCUUCCGUGAAAUAUGUUGAACGAAAUUCUGACUGAAUCCCUUGAAAUUGAGAGUAAAACGUUUCUGGUUCUUUGAGUUUUAGAAGGAAUAACGUUUGGAUUCCUUAUGAUUCACAUUGGAUUUGAAUGUUGGACAAAAUGAUCUGCUUCUAACGUUUUUGGUUUGAAUCCAAAGUCAGAAUGUGGUUUCCUAAUGAAUGGCUUACUAAGUUUCCAAAAAAAUGAUC
rnacentral:lncRNA from 1 species